rnacentral:lncRNA from 8 species
GCGGGCUCUCCUUCACCACAGCCAACGUGAGAAAAACAUUUAAACGUGUUAACCCUCGCAAGGCUGCCAGCAAAGACGGCAUCCCUAGCCGUGUCCUCAGAGCAUGCGCAGACCAGCUGGCUGGUGUGUUUACGGACAUAUUCAAUCAAUCCCUAUCCCGGUCUGCUGUUCCCACAUGCUUCAAGAGGGCCACUAUUAUUCCUGUUCCCAAGAAAGCUAAGGUAACUGAGCUAAACGACUAUCGCCCUGUAGCACUCACUUCCGUCAUCAUGAAAUGCUUUGAGAGACUAGUCAAGGAUCAUAUCACCUCCACCCUACCUGAUACCCUAGACCCACUCCAAUUUGCUUACCGCCCCAAAAGGUCCACAGACGACGCAAUCGCAAUUAAACUGCACACUGCCCUAACUCAACUGGACAAGAGGAAUACCUAUGUAAGAAUGCUGUUCAUCGAUUACAGCUCAGCAUUCAACACCAUAGUACUCUCCAAACUCGUCAUUAAGCUCGAGACCCUGGGUCUCGACCCCGCCCUGUGCAACUGGGUCCUGGACUUUCUGACGGGCCGCCCCCAGGUGGUGAGGGUAGGAAACAACAUCUCCACCCCGCUGAUCCUCAACACUGGGGCCCCACAAGGGUGCGUUCUCAGCCCUCUCCUGUACUCCCUGUUCACCCAUGACUGCGAUGCCAUGCACAUCUCCAACUCAAUCAUCAAGUUUGCAGACGACACUACAGUGGUAGGCUUUAUUACCUACAACGAAAAGACGGCCUACAGUGAGGAGGUGAGGGCCCUCGGAGUGUGGUGUCAGGAAAAUUACCUCACACUCAACGUCAACAAAACAAAGGAGAUGAUCGUGGACUUCAGGAAACAGCAGAGGGUGCUAAUUAUCCACAUCGCCGGGACAGUAGUGGAGAAGGUGGAAAGUUUUAAGUUCCUCGGCGUAGACAUCACGGACAAACUGAAAUGGUCCACCCACACAGACAGCGUGGUGAAAAAGACGCAACAGCGCCUCUUCAACCUCAGGAAGCUGAAGAAUUUGGCUUGUCACCGAAAACACUCACAAACUUAUACAGAUGCACAAUCGAGAGCAUCCUGUCGGGCUGUAUCACCGCCUGGUACGGCAACUGCUCCGCCCACAACAGUAAGGCUCUCCAGAGGGUAGUGAGGUCUGCACAACGCAUCACCGGGGGCAAACUACCUGCCCUUCAGGACACCUACACCACCCGAUGUCACAGGAAGGCCAAAAAGAUCAUCAAGGACAACAACCACCCGAGCCACUGCCUGUUCACCCCGCUAUCAUCCAGAAGGCGAGAUCAGUACAGGUGCAUCAAC